ensembl:lncRNA
CUUCAGCUGCAAGCAUUCUUCCAUGUGAUUCAGAAGAGAGAGCAGACUUCCAUGAACGAUAUAUCAUCGAAGAGAUAUGUGAAAAACACCUUGAGGAAUGAUUCUAAACAACGUUUGCCAUGUUUCAGUCGAUAUUAUGGAGUUAAUUUGGAAAAAAGUUCGGCGUUUUGAUGACUGAAUUUUCGUUUUUUUUGGGUAGCCAACGUGAUGAACAAAACGGAGCGAUUUCUCAUACACAAAGAAUCUUUUUGGAAAAACUGAACAUUUGCUAUCUAACUGAGUCUCCUCAUUGAAAACAACCGAAGUUCUUCAAAGACACACAUCUGACAGGAGAACGUGGCCCGGAGCUGGGGGGGCCCAGAGGCAGACAGAGGAUUGUCAGCAGAGUCCCAUUUCUCCCGGAGUGUGACAUGGGUCCGUGUGGAGUGAGCAUGGAGAGAGAUCCAGUCCAAACUUCUCUCAUGUUGCUGGUGUACCGGUAGGAAAAUGGACAAGACAUAAUGGACUGUAAAGGACAGAGGCGGUGAGAGACAUUAUCAAGGGCCAUCCACUUUGAACAUGUGCCAUUAAAAUGACAAACUGAAACACUAUCUGAAGAAGAACAUGAAGAAACGCCAGGAAAGGAAGAAUGAGUGUCGUGAAGUGAGGGUGGUCAACCGUGCCCGUAAUUGAUUUAGGCUUAUCCAAAAUGGUUUAUUUGGGGUAUCAGGAUGACUGUGGGGGUCUGCACAAUGCGAAAUGUAUAGUAAUUUAGACUAAGAAUGCAUUGAAAUACCAAUCUGUCAUUACCACAGGUGAUGAGAAAAGUUAGGCUAUUAAAUAGGACCAACUUGAAGCACUAAGGACUGUCAUUCUAAAUCUGGGUUAGAUAAUGUAUCAAUAGUUAUAUUUAUAAUUUGGAAAGGGAAGGCUUCUAGAGACAGAACUAUGCCCUAAAAAUGUGAGAAGAGACACUAGAUUGUAGCUUGGGCUAACCUUUCCCCGAUCUCAUUCUUAGCAAUGUUGGUGUGAAACUGUUAUAACAUGUUCUCUCUUUCUCUUCCCUGUGAAACAUUAUUAACAUGCUGUAAGGCAAUCUGCACCUUUUUGACUGGUAAGAUUUCAUCAGCUAUCAUGUUUUCUGCUCCUCCA